CGCGGGCGUUGGGGACACCACG
rnacentral:miRNA from 1 species